UGUAUUUUAAAAAGCUAUGUAUGUAUACGGCUUUCUUUUCUCCACCCCAGGGAUCCGGCUCAUUGGCUGGUUCAGCUCAGCUGGUGGGAUCAGCCAGGUGCGCUGUUUCUGGGUCAGUUCUACCACCCCACCGGCCCAAGAAAAGAUGAGUUUUUUCAAAAUUGAGCUUAGGUCUCCAGUGUCAAGUGACCAACAUGUUGUGGCUGCAAAGAAAUGAAGAAAUAUCUGACAGUGAGAACAAAAAUCAGCAAAGGACAAAAUUGGGAUUAGAAGGAUGAAAAGUUCUCAGGUUGGUUUUCACAUUCCUCCAGGAAAGAAGAUCUGGAAAAGGAGAAACUCUUGACUGAAGAAUAUGAGCUUGGAUGUGAGGAUGCUGAGCUUGGAGGCAGUGGAAUUUCAACUGAAGAACAAAAUGUCCCCUGGAGCCACCCAGGAGAGAAGUUCUCAGAGGAGACAGAGAUGGGGUGAGAAAAGAUCCCCCACUAUUCGUGAGGGUGGCAGGAGAGCCCAGGGAGUAUGACGCUGAGAUCUGUUCCCCUGGACCAUCAGUUUGAGAGUGGCUGAGCCUGCAAUGAGCCCGUGACGUCGCAUCUCAGAUGG